rnacentral:misc_RNA from 1 species
ACAUAAACAAACAUAUCAUAUUCAAGAUUUGAGUACCAAUGACCCCACAUUAUCUAUGUCUUUCGUAAACUUUUCAUUUCCGCAAUCAAGAAUGCAUAAUAGACCAAGUUUCAGAAAAGAAUUUUCAACUGAACAUUAUCCAGAUAUGAAUAAACCACACAGAUAUAAGAAAAAGUACUUGACCAUAAACUAUAAAAUUCUUGCAAGUUCAGAGUUUUCUAAAUGUACAUUAUCCUCUUCAUUCUCAAAUUUCAACCAUUCACUGCUUCUGUUUUUCUCAAGCUUAAGAUGCAUAUUUCUUAUGAAGAGUAGAUGACAGUGUG